UGGUGACAACCCAAAAUUCUCCUGUGCGGGGCAGAUAGGACCAUGGUGAAGGAGAGCACGAGUGUGUUUACAGUUCAGUGAUCUCCGUGUUGGUCAUCUGAGUUCCUCAGCAGCUCUCUACUUUAAUUCAUACGAGUCUCUACUCUCUCCCCCUGUCGUCUGUCCUCUGACUGGCUCACAUUAGGACACACAACGCAUCGUGAUGAUUUAUGGCUCCAAAAUCUGCGCACAAAACAAAAGCUAUAAUAACCUUAAAAAAAAGAAAAAACCUGAGACCGUUCCACAAGCAUUUCCCAGAAGUGACUUCAGAGUUGCAUAAACUCUGUAUGAAGAGUGAGGAGAUUUUUAUUAUGUGUGUGGGUUGGAGCAGAUGGGCUGGUGUGUAAGGGGAAUACAAAAAUAAAUAAAUAAGUAAAUACUCAACUAACCCUGGAUGAUUUCCUACCUGGGAUGUGUCUUUGAUAUGGGGGCACAGUAGGAAAGCAGCCGGGGGGAACAGCAGAAGAUGUAACUUAAUUUUAGGCAAUCAGGGAAAAGUCGAAGCAGUUUCCAUUACCGUCUGACGUUUCAAUUCAUCACAUGAAAAUCUGCUGCCUUUCACAGAAAGAGAAGCUGUAUGACUGUAAGGUUUUUGGCUGCCAAUGGAUUUGCGACUAACAGAAAACACACACAAAUCCCGUCCAGGCCUGCAGCGCAUGUGUGCAUAUUUAAGACCAAACUCAAUACAGGAAUAUUUAUAGUAGUAUCUCAUUAUCUUUAAGCCUUGAUAAAAUAGCCUUUUUUCUAUCAGAAUAACAAUUUAUAUUCUAAUUUACCCUCUAAUAAAUGCAAUAACCAGUGAGAACAUUCUGUCACCAAAUAUUGUUAAACACAAUAUAGUAUUAAAGCACAAAUUCAAGUCAACAUAAUUACAUUCUGGCUAAAUAGCUAACACUGCGUUGGUCUAAAUGUCCUUAUAAAACAAUAAAGUACAAUGUCAAUAAAACUUUUAAAUCUU